rnacentral:tRNA from 1 species
AGAAAGUAACGCAAGAACUGCUAAUUCAUGCCUCCGCGUUUACACACGCGGCUUUCUU